GCAGUGAUAGUUCAGUGGUAGAAUUCCUGUUUUCCAUGCAAGAGACCUGAAUUCUAUUCCCAGCCAAUGCA
rnacentral:tRNA from 1 species